GAAAACGUCUCUUCUCUCUCUCUCUCUCUCUCUCUCUCUGUAUCAAAUCCCUGAAACGAGCACUUGAUCUCUUCUCCCCCGUCCAUGGCCAAUUCCCUCCUCCUGAUGCCGAAGCCGAAGAAAAAUCAUUCAAAAGCAAAGCGGAAAGGAAGAUUACAAUCAAAAACUCACUUCCUUCACUCUAUUACAGAUUCUUCCUCUGUCAGCACGAUUCAUUUUGGCUCAAGCUCGAAUCAGGGUUUAGUGUGAUAAAAUCGAUUUCAGUGAGAAGAAUCUGGUGAGAGGAACCGUGGAGGAUUCGUAAGGAGGGAAAGCUGAAGAGUCGGAGGGUAGCUAGAAGGAGAUUGUUGAGUUGGAUAUGGCUUCUCCUUGCUUCUUUCUCUGUUGCAGGAUUGGUUCUAUUCAUGGUUCAGCAUCGUCAUCAACAACAAGAUCCAUCUCAGCUAACACUUGUAUGUCUUCCUCUCUGGUCUUAGUUCAAAGUUUUUUUUUAGUUUCUUAAAAGCAAUGUAUUGAUUGCUGAGAUUGAGUUUGGCUCUAAGUUCUAACGAUCAUCUGCUCAUGAAAAAAGUGUUGAUCUUUGUAGUUUGGGCUGACGAAAGAUUGGUGUCAUUGUAGCCUAAUAUUUUUUUUAAGCUGAAAAUGGUUUAUUAGGUUGAUCUCUCUGUAUCUAUGGAAUCAGUGCAAGUUGAACUCUUUCCACAACGGGCAUGACCAAAUCUUAGUGUAGUUUCUUAUUGACAUUGCUUGUGGGUUUGGGGUUUGAAUCGACGGAGAACAACGACGGUUGCUGCAUGUGUCUUGUUUGAAUCGAGAGGUAAAGCUAUGUUAAUUUGUUUUCUUGUUUGAAUCUUUCAAUUUUGCAUGUGUUAGAUUCGGAUAAACGAAAGCCUUAAUAACAUCACAUAAUCAAUUAAUAGAACUUGUAUUUGGAUAGAUGUUGUUGGAGCAAAAGGUUAGGAUCUCAGAUAAUUUCAGUUUGUAUUGUGAUUGUGAUUGUGAUUGUGUAGGAAGACUUGUAAAUCCAAGAGACAUGAGCCUUUGUUUAAGUUGAUUUGUUUGUUGGUUGGUGUAUUAGAAGUUGUUGUCAUGGGGUUAUUGUUCUGGUUAUCUUUAAGUUUGUGUUUCUUGUUUCAUGUUCUUGUUUCGUGAAAGAGUUAAUGUAUUACCAAAUCUUUUGUUUCUUGUUCUUGUUAUUUUUAAUGAUUGUAUGAUUGUGUAUUCACAAACUUGUAUAUUGUAUUGUUGUGGUCACGUUGAAAAUGUUUCACGGACAAGAAAUGAAAGACCUUUGUAAUGAUUGUAUGAUUGUGUAUUCACAAACUUGUAUAAAUAAUAUCUUGUAAUGAAAGUGUAUUCACAAGCCUUUGA